UCCAAUCAGCUGCCGGUUUUCAUUUUUUGGGCGACAAUACAGAGCAGCGCCGCCUGCUGUUAUGGAGACGUAUUACGUCUCGCGCACGCGCAGAACGUACGCUCAAGUCGGCGUCACUUUGGUGUGCUCUGAGGCACUUUUUGGACCUCGGGGAGCCGACAGAUCAGUCCGACUGCCUUUUUCUGCCGACGGUCGGCCGUCGUGUUGGUGUGUUUAACCGUCUCCACCUACAGCGCCACACGCCGUAGGAUUGUGUGAGUCACAGGCGAGACGGAGGGCUUUUUGCUUUGGGAUUGUUGUUGUUUCUUCAGUUUUUUGGAGCCGGCACAGAGCUGUGAAAACAUCAAUCUACUGCCAGCUGUUAUCAGAGGA